GAUGAAGAACGUAGCGAAAUGCGAUACGUAGUGUGAAUUGCAGAAUUCCGUGAACCAUCAAAUCUUUGAACGCAUAUUGCGCUCGAGGCUUCGGCCGAGAGCAUGUCUGCCUCAGCGUCGGUAUUACCCCUCGCUUCUCAACCCCUGGUUGAUGCCUGCCUGCCUUUGCAGUUGGCUAGAAGCGGAUCUGGCUUUCCCAAUUGCCUUUGGUAGUUGGGUCAGCUGAAGCACAGAGGCUUGAGCAAGGACCCUUAUUGGGCUUCAACUGGAUAGGUAGAACUGGUCUUAGGACCAACUACACGAAGUUGUUGCUUGUGGUAUUUGUCUGGAGGCCAGCAGGAAACCUUUAUACCUUCGACCUGAGCUCAGGCAAGAUUACCCGCUGAACUUAAGCAUAUCAAUAAGCGGAGGA
rnacentral:misc_RNA from 1 species